AUCAACUUUCGAUGGUAGGAUAGAGGCCUACCAUGGUGGUAACGGGUAACGGGGUGUUAGGGCACGACACCGGAGAGGGAGCCUGAGAAACGGCUACCACAUCCAAGGAUGGCAGCAGGCGCGCAAAUUACCCAAUCCCGACACGGGGAGGUAGUGACAAUAAAUAACAAUACGGGGUUCUUUUGGAUUUUGUAAUUGGAAUGAGUACAAUUUAAAUCUCUUAACGAGGAACAAUUGGAGGGCAAGUCUGGUGCCAGCAGCCGCGGUAAUUCCAGCUCCAAUAGCGUAUAUUAAAGUUGUUGCAGUUAAAAAGCUCGUAGUUGAAUUUCGGGAUCAGUGGGUCGGUCGUGCCACUGGUAUGCACUGGCCCUACUGGUUCCUCCUUCUUGAAGAACUGUAAUGCCAUUAAUUUGGUGUUGCAGGGAAACAAGACUGUUACUUUGAAAAAAUUAGAGUGUUUAAAGCAGGCAAUCGCUUGAAUACAUUAGCAUGGAAUAAUGAAAUAGGACGUUCGAUCCUAUUUUGUUGGUUUCUAGGAUUGACGUAAUGAUUAAUAGGGAUAGUUGGGGGCAUUAGUAUUCAAUUGUCAGAGGUGAAAUUCUUGGAUUUAUUGAAGACUAACUACUGCGAAAGCAUUUGCCAAGGAUGUUUUCAUUAAUCAAGAACGAAAGUUAGGGGAUCGAAGACGAUCAGAUACCGUCGUAGUCUUAACCAUAAACUAUGCCGACUAGGGAUCGGAUGAUGUUAUUUUUAAUGACUCAUUCGGCGCCUUACGGGAAACCAAAGUGUUUGGGUUC
rnacentral:rRNA from 1 species